rnacentral:lncRNA from 1 species
GGCUCAAAGGCCAGAGCAGGAGACCAAAGGCAUUUUGGUGCUUGAGCCUUGCUGGGGGCCUGGCUGAGGACCCCAGUGCCUGUUUUUUAGGUGAAGCCUUAUUCUAGCAUUUGCAUGUGGCUGGUUUGGGCACGGAGAAGUCUCUCAAACUCCUCAUCACAGGGGAGCAAGGAAGCCCCUCUACCUUCACAGAGAAACCAAAAUGAUCUACAAAUUUCUCUAGUAAAAAAGGACAAGAUUUUGCAUGAGUUUGAGAUUCCAGGAAAAAAGAGGCAAGUAGGAAGCAAUGUCUCUCAAACCUUUCAGAGUUUCUUUUUUCCUUAUACUCUAUGAAGGAAAAGGGGCAAUAUGUGUAGGAUACUCCCUUUAAGAGAGAACUUUGG